GAUGAAGAACGUAGUGAAAUGCGAUACUUGGUGUGAAUUGCAGAAUCCCGCGAAUCAUCGAGUUUUUGAACGCAAGUUGCGCCCGAAGCCAUUCGGCCGAGGGCACGUCUGCCUGGGUGUCACGCAUCGUUGCCCCCCCAAACUCCGGUUCGGGCGGGGCGGAAGUUGGCCUCCCGUGCGUGCCUGCGCGCGCGGUUAGCCCAAAAGCGAGUCCUCGGCGACGAGCGCCACGACAAUCGGUGGUUUUUUUACCCUCGUUCCUCGUCGUGCGUGCCCCGUCGCCCGAACGCGCUCUUGCGACCCUUACGCGUCGCCUCGGCGGCGCUCCCAACGCGACCCCAGGUCAGGCGGGACUACCCGCUGAGUUUAAGCAUAUCAAUAAGCGGAGGA
rnacentral:misc_RNA from 1 species